rnacentral:tRNA from 1 species
GCGCGGGUGGCCCAACGGUAAGGCAGUUGCCUGCAGAGCAACCGAGUGGGGGUUCAAAUCCCUCCCCGCGCU